rnacentral:lncRNA from 1 species
AGGAAUCUAAAGAUGCUACCCCACCUCCACCACCACCACCACCUGAAGAAGUUGUAUUGAGAGUUUACAUGCAUUGUGAAGGUUGUGCUAGAAAGGUUAAAAGAUGCUUAAGGGGAUUUCCAGGUAAAAGAAAUAUUUUUUUUCAAAUUGAAUUUUAAAUUUUUGUUUUUUUGUUUCAAUUUAUUGAAAAAGAUGUUUUGGGAUAUAUAUAUAUAUACAGGUGUUGAAGAUGUUCAAACUGAUUGCAAAUCUCAUAAGGUAAUUGUUAAAGGAAAAACAGCUGCUGCAGAUCCAUUGAAAGUUUGUGAAAGAGUUCAGAAGAAAAGUCAUAGAAAGGUUGAACUUCUUUCUCCAAUCCCAAAACCACCUGAAGAAGAUGCAAAGAAAACUGAAGAAGAAACCAAAGAGAAUCCUAAACCAGAAGAGAAGAAGGAAGAGGUUUGCUUUUCAUUUAAUUACUUGCUUUUUCAAAUUUUAAUCUUUUGGGGAUUUUAUUUUUAAUUUUUUCUGUUUGUUUUCAGCCA